UGCAUGAGGAGGUCACGGGACAGACCCUGCAGGUGCCAUGGGUUGACUGCUGUGCCAGGCUAGGUGCAUGAGGAGGUCACGGGACAGACCCUGCAGGUGCCAUGGGUUGACUGCUGUGCCAGGCUAGGUGCAUGAGGAGGAGGUCACGGGACAGACCCAGCAGGUGCCAUGGGUUGACUGCUGUGCCAGGCUAGGUGCAGGAGGAGGUCACGGGACAGACCCUGCAGGUGCCAUGGGUUGACUGCUGUGCCAGGCUAGGUGCAGGAGGAGGUCACGGGACAGACCCUGCAGGUGCCAUGGGUUGACUGCUGUGCCAGGCUAGGUGCAUGAGGAGGAGGUCACGGGACAGACCCAGCAGGUGCCAUGGGUUGACUGCUGUGCCAGGCUAGGUGCAGGAGGAGGUCACGGGACAGACCCAGCAGGUGCCAUGGGUUGACUGCUGUGCCAGGCUAGGUGCAGGAGGAGGUCACGGGACAGAUCCUGCAGGUGCCAUGGGUUGUACUGCUGUGCCAGGCUAGGUGCAGGAGGAGGUCACGGGACAGACCCUGCAGGUGCCAUGGGUUGACUGCUGUGCCAGGCUAGGUGCAUGAGGUCACGGGACAGACCCUGCAGGUGCCAUGGGUUGACUGCUGUGCCAGGCUAGGUGCAGGAGGAGGAGGUCACGGGACAGACCCUGCAGGUGCCAUGGGUUGACUGCUGUGCCAGGCUAGGUGCAUGAGGAGGUCACGGGACAGACCCUGCAGGUGCCAUGGGUUGACUGCUGUGCCAGGCUAGGUGCAUGAGGAGGUCACGGGACAGACCCAGCAGGUGCCAUGGGUUGACUGCUGUGCCAGGCUAGGUGCAUGAGGAGGAGGUCACGGGACAGACCCUGCAGGUGCCAUGGGUUGUACUGCUGUGCCAGGCUAGGUGCAUGAGGAGGUCACGGGACAGACCCAGCAGGUGCCAUGGGUUGACUGCUGUGCCAGGCUAGGUGCAUGAGGAGGAGGUCACGGGACAGACCCUGCAGGUGCCAUGGGUUGACUGCUGUGCCAGGCUAGGUGCAUGAGGAGGUCACGGGACAGACCCAGCAGGUGCCAUGGGUUGACUGCUGUGCCAGGCUAGGUGCAUGAGGAGGUGGUCACGGGACAGACCCAGCAGGUGCCAUGGGUUGACUGCUGUGCCAGGCUAGGUGCAUGAGGAGGUCACGGGAUAGACCCUGCAGGUGCCAUGGGUUGACUGCUGUGCCAGGCUAGGUGCAUGAGGAGGUCACGGGACAGACCCUGCAGGUGCCAUGGGUUGACUGCUGUGCCAGGCUAGGUGCAGGAGGAGGUCACGGGACAGACCCAGCAGGUGCCAUGGGUUGACUGCUGUGCCAGGCUAGGUGCAUGAGGAGGUCACGGGACAGACCCAGCAGGUGCCGUGGGUUGACUGCUGUGCCAGGCUAAGUGCAU